rnacentral:rRNA from 1 species
UGGGGAAUAUUGGACAAUGGGCGAAAGCCUGAUCCAGCCAUGCCGCGUGUAGUGAAGAAGGUCUUCGGAUUGUAAAGCACUUUAAGUUGGGAGGAAGGGCAGUAAGUUAAUACCUUGCUGUUUUGACGUUACCGACAGAAUACGCACCGGCUAACUCUGUGC